GCGCCUCUCCUCCAGCUGCCGUCUCCCAACCAAUCGGCUGCGCUCUCUGCUACGUGUGGCGUCACACGUAGAGGCCAAGAUGGCGUCGGUAGCUGGAGUUAGGGCUUUGCCGCGACCUUUACUCUAGGCGAGGUUAGGGACGGUAGGAAAGCAGCUUUGUCCCUGAAGCGCUGUUGAGGAUUAGGAUCGGAUUCCUCAGAGUCAUGGGAGCAAUUGUCAGCGGCCUCCACAGCCCCCACCAGACGCAAGUCAAGGAGAGAGAAUCCACGCUACGAGAACCGACAUAGCGGACGUUGCGAUUGCCAGAGCCCAGGCUGGCGGUUGCCGAGUUGCCCGUGGAGAAGUGGAACCCGAGCGUUCUUCACUUCGGGUCUCUCUCCACGUGUGAAGUGGGAAUGAUAGUGAUAUCUCGUGCUUUAGCUGUCAAAGGCAAGAAGGAGAAGGUAUUUGUUAGAGGCCCUACGACGUGAUCUUCAAAUUGGUAGGGCUUAAGAACACAGUUCAUCUCUACUCCUCUGGAGUCCACUGGGACAGUUUAAUGGCUAAAAUCUGGAAUCAUCUGAGGUCUCAUUCAUUCAUAUGACCAGCAAUUGAUGUUGCCUGGAAUCUUUGCUGGGAUUAUCAGCAGAAACAUCAGUGUGUGGCAUCUCCAUGUGGCCUAUGCUUCCUUACAACAUGUGGCCAGAUUCCAAGGCAAGUGACUAGAGAGAAAAGAGACAAAAGAAAACUGGAAGUUUUUGUCAUCAAACUAUGGAAGCCAUGCCAUUAUUUCUGCAAUACUCUUGAUUGGAACAGUCAAGCCCACCCAGGUUCAAGGGGAACCUAACAAAAGAGUGGUAGAGUUCUGAAAGAACACAUGGAACCAGAAAUACUGCUGUGGUCGUUUUUGAAAAACAUCAUCUGCCAUAGUCACUCCUGGUCACAAUUCAUCUCUCUCUCACAUGGCAAAACAUAUUCAUUACUUCCUCCCCAAACCCCCAGUCUCUUCCCAUUGUGAUAGCAGAAUCAGGCGGCUAAGAGGCUAAGAGGCUGCAGUCAAACUGUGAGAUUCCAUUUAUAUAAAGUUCAAAAGCAGCAAAAGUAAUCUAUAGUGCUAGAAGUCUGGAUAGUAAAUAACUUUAGAGGAGCAACUACUUGGAGCAGGUAGGAACCGUGGAACUAUGAAUGUUCUAGAUCUUGAUCUGGGUAGGGGUUACAUGAAUAGAUAGGCCUAAGUAAAAGCUUAUCAAGCUAUACGUGUAAGAUUGUAUCCUUUAUGUAGUUUAUACCUCAAUAAAAAGUAAAAAGGUGCUGUAAUGGUGGAUACACAUCAUUACACAUUUGUCAAAACCCAUAGAAUGUACACCACCAGGGGUGAACACUUACGUAACCUUUAGACAUUAGGUGAUAAUGACACAUCAGUGUAGGUUCAUCACUUGUAACAAAUGUAGUACUCUGGUGUGGGAUGUUGAUCAUAUAUGAGAGGCAUGGAGCUGGGUAGGACUGGAGGUAUGUGGGAACUUUUUAUACAGUUUGAACCUAAAAGUGCUCUAAAAAAUAAAAUUUAUUACUUAAAAAAUGCCAGUAAAAAGGAUUUUUAAAAAUCCUAUUUGUACCAGUUAGGAAUGUGUGGGUGUGUGGGGAUGGAUGGAUGGAUGGAUGGAUGGAUGAAAUGGUUUAAGGAAUAAUGAAAGUUUGGGGUUCACUUUAAGUCCUAGAGUAGUUCUGGCUACAGGCAUUACUGAAUCUAGAGUAUCUCUCCAUCCCUCAGCUGUUUUCUACUGUGUUGGCUUCGUUCUCAUGUUCUAUGUGUUGGCUCCCGGCAGUUCCAGGCUUAUAUCAUCCUUCCUGCUUAUAGCCCUAGCAGAAAAGAGGCACAUGCUAUCUCUUCCAACGAUCUUAUUAAAAGUCUCACCCUGUUGCUGUUGUCUCCAUCUGGGGCAUGUGCCCAUCCCUAAACUGUGGCCAGGAGAAUGUAAUGCCCUGAUUUGCCUUAUCCACAUGUUACUCUCUGGAAAGGAGGAAGCUGAGUGGUAAAGUCAAUUAUUCCAAAGUACAUGGAGUGGGGGUGGGGGUGAGCUUGGCUUCCCUUAGGAAAAUUAGGGUACUGUUGUCAGAGGUCAGUGAAAGAAUGUUACACAGCAAAAUCAGAUGCUUACUAAAAUAAGCCAGGGCACUGUGUGAGUCAUAAAAAUGUUCAUACCCUUUGAUACAGGAUUCCCAUUUGUGGGAAUAAUCUAAAAUAUGAGAAAAGUUAUAUUUACAGAAAUUUUAAUUUCAAUGCUAUCAAAAAAUUGACAGCCUAAUCAUCUUACAAUAGAAAAGUAUUUACAUACCCCACGUAUCUAUACAGACUAAAUGUAAUUUAAAAUAAAAAUUACAGGGGCACCUGACUGGAUCAGUUGGUAAAGCGUGUGACUCUAAAUCUCAGGGUUGUGAGUUCGAGCCCCAUGUUGGGUGUAGCGAUCACUUAAUAAAUAAAACUUUUUAAAAAAUGAAAAUUCCGAGUAGUUAACAUUAAGGAAUAUGUUUAUGAUAAGUGGAAAAAUCACAUACGUAUGUGUAUAUACAUACCUUUAUGUAAAAGGACAUAUAUAAAUAUGAAAAAAAUUGGAAGAAAACAUGCCAAAACAGUAACUUACUAGAGUAAGUUCUACCCCUAGAGUGGUAGAACUAUGGAUGAUUUUUUUCCUUUAUUUUUCAAGUUUCCUUUUUGGUAUUUAUAUUAUUGUUAUGAUUUAUUAAUGCACUUUGUAAAACUUAGUAUCUUAAGAAUAGUCCCUUCUCCUAAGUACUAUGGGGUAAAACCAAAUAAACUUUUACAUCAGUUGA